GCCAGCAUAGUGCAGUGGUUUGAGCAUUGGACUACAGCUCUGAUGAUCAGGGUUCAGUUCUCUGUUUCAGCA